CGUGUGGUUAAUGAUGAACAAUUCUUUCCCCGACUUAUCGACUAUGAUGAUACAUCCUUGCAAAAUAAGCCAAAUAUUCUGAGACCACAAU
ensembl:snoRNA